UCGUGCAAAGUUUGGUUCUG
rnacentral:misc_RNA from 1 species